rnacentral:lncRNA from 1 species
UCUACGGCAAGCCCGUGAACCAGGGUAUCACCCAGCUGAAGCCCGCCCGCAACCUGCGCAACGUCGCUGAGGAGCGUGCUGGCCGCAAGUGCGGUGGCCUGCGCGUCCUGAACUCCUACUGGGUGAACCAGGACUCGUGCUACAAGUACUUCGAGGUGAUCAUGGUGGACCCCGCCCACAACGCCAUCCGCAACGUGAGUUGUCGCUGGAUCUGCGACAGCGGCAGAUUUCGUGGGGAGGAGGGGGAGGGGGGAGAAUGCUGCUGGAGAGGGCGCGGAGGAAUCGGCCGGCACGAGGACACGUACCGGGUGGUGUGGGCCACGGGAAGGGGGCGGUGGGGAGCUGCCUCGCGGCGGACCCUUCGCUGGUGCAGUUAAGCAGGCCGUGGCUAUGGGCGCGCUGGGCGCCCGCUUGCAGGCGGUUGCGCUCUUGUGCCGGCACUGUACAGGCAGCCAUUGCGGCAAGCCAUUCCGUCUGCCAUUGCGGGAAGCUCUUCGUCAAGCAACAUCCUGCCUUUCUUAUGUUUGACCUUCGCCCCCAUCCCCGACCUCGUUACAUGCCACAGGAUGCCCGCAUCAACUGGCUGUGCAACCCCGUGCACAAGCACCGCGAGCUGCGCGGUCUGACCGCCGCGGGCAAGAACUACCGCGGCCUGCGCGCCAAGGGCCACAAGGCCAGCAAGACCCGCCCCUCGAAGAGGGCCAGCUGGAAGCGCCGCAACAGCCUGUCGCUGCGCCGCUUCCGCUAAACAGCAUCUGCCUCAUCAUCAGCUGCUGUUGGCGCCGCCUGAUUGCGAGAUUACACCAUCAACUCUUACGAUCGUCAUUCUAUUCUCUGUAACGAGGAGGGAUACACUGGCUCUCUUGUGCGCGUGCAAAGCUGGGGAAUGGGCAGUCGUCGAAUUUGGAGGGGAAGGGCGGGGGUGCACGCGGGAAUGGUGCAGCAGCAAAGCGCAACUGGAAUAGGCUGUUAAAACCAGAUAGGUGACAGCGGAGUGGGGGACCUGUGACUCACAGCAACGUGCACCUUGCCCCAUUGGGCUUGGGAGCAUCCGGCGGUCCACUAGUCCUUCGUUAACCACCAGGUGGACAAAGCGUAGAUACACUAGCAUUCGCGGUUCUUCAUAGAAAUCAGCUCGGCCUGCUUCAAACUCUAGCUCACAAGACCCGGCUCUCACUUCUCUCGCUGCAUGUCCAGCUCAUGUCCAUAUAACCCAGACUCGUCCCCUGGCGCGCCUCACACACCAUGACCGCCACGAACCAUGUUCUGACCGGUGCCUUAUCCAGCCUCACCAAAGCCGUGAACACGUUCCUCGACCUUCCCAGUGCCAGCAGCUUCACGGUCGCCCUUCCGCCAAGUUCCUUGGGCACCACAAGUCUCAACCUCUGAUACCCAGCAGCACACGUCGAGCUCCUCCCCUGCCAGCCUCCACUGCCAUCUAGCCCUGCCACAUCCUUCCUCCACAGGCACGAAACCCCAUAACCCGAACACUUCUCCCGACCCAUACCCACUCCCGAGCGCCCCGCGUGGUCCUUACAACCCCCGAGCGCCCAACGGCUGACCGCCACAACCCUUGCACCAGGCCCACCGCACACCGCACCCCCGCCCAGCACCCAACCAUACCCACACCCACGCCCACACGCGGCGCGUGCGCGCCUACUUGGCCAGCACGGCCUUGUGCAGGCUGACCAUGUAGUCGGUGUAGGACUGCGUGGAGGGCGAGCGGUCCUCCACCAGGUACGGCAGCACGUGCGGCUCCAGCGGGGAGCCCUGCCGCACCACAAACACCUGUGGGAGAAGGCAGGGGAGCGGGGAGGGCGCGAUGCGUGGGCAAGAGAGAGAGGGAGGCAGCGGGCCGCAGCUGCGCAUCGCACGGGCCUGACCUCAUGCGGGCGGCGAGCCCAUCAGCAUGCGCACGUCGCCAAGCGGCCGCGCUCCAGUCCGGCCCCCGCAACCCCCCUGCCUGUGCUCCGCUCGUUUUAGUUGGUUUUGUUUUGGUUUGGGCUGCUGGUAUUUACACCCCCCCCCCUUACCUGCUGGUGCAGCGGCCGGCCCGCCCGCAGCGCGCGCAGCAGGGUGGUGACCCGGCCGGACAUGGGCGUGUCGCGGCCCGGCUCCACCGUGACGGCGCUGGUGUCCUGCGGCAGCGACAGGGGGUCCGUGCCAAACACCUGCGGCGGGGCGGGCAGGCGCGCGCCGCGUGUGAACGGGGGCGAGGGUGCUAGACACAGCGGCUGUCGCUGUCAGCCUCUCGUCCCUAGCAACUAAGCACGCCCCUUCUCCCACAUAAGUACGGUUUACCCUCGCCGCGCCGCGCCGCCCCCGCCCCUGCGUGCUCACCUCCACACACCACUGCGGAGACAUGGCGCGGCCCAGCCACAGCACGAACACGCGGCCGGUGUCAAUCAGGUACACGCCGCCGUCCUGUGCCGGCAGGAGGAGGGGGGUUAGCCAUGUAUGCGAGCGGUGUGUACCGUAUGAAACAUGGAACUGCAGCGGGGCCACGCCGCAUGGCGCAGGCAGCGGGCCAGCGGCGCCCCCACAAUCCUGACACGCAAACUAGCUACGCGGGAGCCCACGCAAACCACCGCCGUCGGGGCUUCCAUCGCGCCUCCAACCGUUGCCAUGGACGCCCAGCCCACGCACCUGCAGCACCGCGGCGGACAGCGGCACCGCCGCCGGCACCGGCACGGAGCCGUCCUGCUGCUCCAUACCCCAGGGCCCGGAGGGGUCGUGCAGCGCAUAGGCGGUGGGGUAGGCCAGCCGCGCCACGGCCUCCACGCCGCCGGCCAUGAGGAAGUGGCCCACCGCGAUGCGCUCGUCCGCGUUCACAUCCUUGGCGCCGCCGCUGUGGGGCGCGGGGCGACCCGGAGGCGUGGGAUGAGCGCAACAGGCAGGGGCAGAGGCGCAAGAGGCGUUUCUAUGACGUGUGCAAGUGCGCGUGCGCGCGUGUCUGCACCGUACUGUUGCGCGAGGUGCCGCGCGGCUUAUGGCACUAAGGGGCCGGCUUCUAGGGGUCGUUCACUUUUUAGUCCAUGGCAACAAGAGGCUCCGCGUGCUCCUGUGCGUGCUGCUUUGUUCCCCCGGUGUUGCCGCUGCUGCUGCCGCGGCUGCUGCUCACCGGAAGGCGGCGCACUUCAUGAGCCCCAGCGUCCAGAUGGGCAGGUACUUGUAGGUCUCGGGGAAGAUGAGCUUGUUGGGCGUGCGCAGCGCCGCGUUGGCGUUCAUGAUGCGGAACUCCUUGAGCGCGCCGCUCAGCCUGGGGGCAGGACACCACACACACACACACGCGUGUACAUCGCGAUUACGGUACACCCGUUUGCUCGCGAAGGAAACAUUGCCAUGGCGCAUCACUGGAUGGCGGCGAGCCCUUGACCGCACAGAGCACGCCGGGCACGCGCGCCUCCUCCAGCGCACCCUCACAACCCGCAGCGCAGCACCGCCCUCUCCCUCCCGCCGCACCUGGCGUGCAGCGACUGCCGCGUCUCGUCCAGCCGGCUCGAGAGGUACUUCUCCACACUCAGCUUGGCCAUCAUGGUGGUCAUGGCGCCGGCAUCCGUGGCGGCGAACAUGUCGGCCAGCUCCGACACGAUGGGCACCGCCAUGGUGUGGACCCUGCGUGUGCAAGUGUGUGCAAGUGUGAGAAAUGUGAAGAAAUGCGUGGUGAAACAUCUCCAACAAAUGCGGUUCCUAGUGUGUAUGCAUGCAAGUAUGUGAUGGGCUGGUUGUGAGGGGGUGGAGGGCGGGCAGUUGCGAGGCGUGGGAGGGCGUCAGGAUUUGGUCGGCCCCGCUGCCGGCCGCCUAGCUGCCAGGCAGGGGUGUGCUGAUGCGCCUGCCCGGACGAGUCGCACCUCCCUCCCAAUCCCGCGCACACCUGAUGCGGCGCUCGCCGUUGGAGUUGGUGUACAGCAGCGCGCACUGCACGUAGGCGAAGCCCGGCUGCACCACACCCUGUGUGAGAAGGCAGGCAACGGCGUGCGCGGUGUUGGGCUGAAGGUUCCCGUGUGGUAGGUGAGGCGGCGAGCAAGGCGUGGCCGCCGCCGCCCGCAUCUCAUACCGCAUCGCCAUCGCUAAUGCCGCACCGCCACCGCUUCCACCGGCCUUUUGCACGCACUUGCGCGGAAAUACGUGUGUGCAAUCUGGCACACACACGCACACACGCGUUCUAUUCCUCGUGACUUUUUACACACAUGAACACACACACACACACACACACACACACACACACACACACGCACACGCACACUAACACACACACACACACACACACACACACACACACCGAGGCACGCAUGCACAUACAAGCGCGCACCUCUUCGUGCGCAAUCUCCAUGGCGAAGGCCUUGUCGGGGUCGCACGUUGGCAGCGCCAGCAGGUCGGUGGACCUGGAGGGCGGGGCCGGGGGGGCUUGGGUUUGGGUCUGGGCUGGAGCACACACGUACAGGCACUUCUUGCAUGGUCGGCAUGUGAACGUUCCGAGCUGCUGUUACCGUAUACUGUCGCAAGAGUGCUAUACUGACUCGUAUCCAUCUCCAACGUAUGUGUAUGUGUCUCCCCAGUCGAGACGGCGCCCGCCCCACCUGUUGAAGAAGUGGCCGUGGAAGGCGCUGAUGCGCAACCCCUUGCUGCAGCGCACGCGCAUGACGGCCUCCCAGGCGGUGGGUCGGGUGAGGUUGUGUGUGAUCUCUGCCGUGAGCUUGGUGCCAUCACGUGCCGCCAUGAAGCCGGGGUAGUAGUACAGCUGCGGGGUUGGAGGGCGGAAGGGAGGGGAGACGGCGGGGAAGGGGGAGGGUUCGUUCACGCGGAUGGCAAUGACGCCGGCGCGACACGAUGCAUUCGAUGUAGCGAUUUAGACGCGCCAGCAACACUAUGGUACAGCAAAUUUCCCCCCGCCCCUGGCUGGCUGGAUCGGUGGUUUGACUGGGUUCGGAUUAAACUACCCCCCCCCCCCCCCAGCUGGGAGCUGGUCGACAUCGUCGGCAACGCUUGAUGUUCCGCAAGAUGGUCUACCGUCUACCGCUUCCUAAACUAGUCAUGAAUGUAACACCCCCCCCCCCCAUUUGAUACACACCAUCCCAUGGAUGGCUACCCCCCCACCGCA